CUGCAUUCAGUCCAUUGACUCCCGAAUGUCAAGUCUUUGCUCCAACUGCUGAGCACCGGGGUGGCCAGCACUGCUCCAAGGACUUUUGAAGGAGGACCUGCAGCACAAGAGGUCCUGGAAGCUGCUAGGGGCUUGCCCAACACAAUUUCCCAGCCGGGGCCACGAGCAGCAAGACUCCUGGCUGGCUUGUCAAAUUUUGUGGAUGAGUCAGGCUCUCACCACUCACUGCUCCACAGGCCAAUAAGUCAAGAGAGGUGUUGGGGCAAAGAGCAACUUUAUUCAGAAAGCCAGCACACUGAGAAGAUGGCGGGCUAACGUCCUAAAGAACCAUCUUAAUGCGGGGUAGGAUUCAGGUUGCUUUUAUUCUAAGGAAGAAGUGGGAGGAGGAGGGUUUAAGACUAAACGGCGGGUUGCAGGCUGCUCGGAGCCACCUGGCCUUCAAGGAAAGCAUAACGUGCCUCUGUCUUUCUGCUUGCUAUCCCAGGGCUCCUGCAGAACUUCCAGUUGUUAGCAGCUAGUUUUACUUGAUCAUUCUUAUCCCUGCUUAUUCUAAGGUUUCUAGGCGGAAAGCAAACUCAUCUACAACAGGUAAUAGCCACUUGGGACCGUGGGGUCUUUCCUGAGGGGACUUACUGAACUAUUUGGGCACAAUCAACGUUUCUUUAAUGUUCAACACUUGACGUGCCGAGCUAAAGUAACAAAACUCGUAGGCUGAGGAAGAGGGGCGAUUUCCAGGCGGUGGUAGUCCUGUUCCUCCUCUGCUGCAGGCCUGGAGCAGUACCUGGCAGCGAGGGGAUUAAACAUAAACUCUCCAUUCUUGUGUGACAAGAGCAUCUAUGUGCUCGUCCUCCAGUGAGCAAACGUUACCAUGACGAGGAAGGUGAACCCGUGAGCCAAUCAGAGUGAAGCUCGAGCCUGGAAUGUGGCAGUGCUGACAAGUCAGGCCAAAGUGCAGAGUCUGGGGAAGGAAGACACAAGGUGGCGGUGCCAGUGAUUCAGAGCUCUGUUGUCAAUCUCCUCAUCUGCCAAACUGGGGAGACAGUCUUGAAUAUCUCCAGGAUCCUAUCCAAGUGUCCAUUCUAGCCGUGUGACAAAUUCUGCACAUUAAGCCAAGGGGGAGCCCCCAGGCUAAGUUCCUUUCCUCAUUUGUCUGGGCUUGGAGCUGGAGGGAGACCCCCCUUCCCACUAUGGGCAACCAGGUGAUCUACUGGGUGGCCCUCUGUCUCCUCAGAGCAGGCACCGUGGAUGGUGGAAUCACACAGACCCCAAAAUACGUGCUCAAAGAGGAAGGACGAGAUGUGACCCUGGAGUGUGAGCAGGAUUUUAAUUAUGACGCCAUGUACUGGUACCGACAGGACCCAGGACAAAGGCUGAGACUAAUCUACUUCUCACUGUCUGCAAAGGAUGUUCAGAAAGGAGACAUAGCCGAAGGCUACAGUGCCUCUCGGGAGAAGAAGCCACUCUUUUCUCUCACUGUGACGUUGACACAGAAGAACCAGACGGCUGUUUAUCUCUGUGCCAGCAGUACAGACACAGUGAAGCAAAGCCACCUUCUCUUUGCACAUAAAUGUGUCCCAAGCCCUGCAUCCCCACCAGGUGGCAGGGCUUUUCUGUUUUUGGUCCCCUGA